CCUACGGGAGGCAGUAGUGGGGAAUAUUGGACAAUGGGCGAAAGCCUGAUCCAGCCAUGCCGCGUGUGUGAAGAAGGCCUUCGGGUUGUAAAGCACUUUCAGUGGGGAAGAAAGCCUUGGGGCUAAUACCCUCGAGGAAGGACAUCACCCACAGAAGAAGCACCGGCUAACUCCGUGCCAGCAGCCGCGGUAAUACGGAGGGUGCGAGCGUUAAUCGGAAUUACUGGGCGUAAAGCGCGCGUAGGCGGUCUGAUAAGCCGGUUGUGAAAGCCCCGGGCUCAACCUGGGAACGGCAUCCGGAACUGUCAGGCUAGAGUGCAGGAGAGGAAGGUAGAAUUCCCGGUGUAGCGGUGAAAUGCGUAGAGAUCGGGAGGAAUACCAGUGGCGAAGGCGGCCUUCUGGACUGACACUGACGCUGAGGUGCGAAAGCGUGGGUAGCAAACAGGAUUAGAUACCCGAGUAGUC
rnacentral:rRNA from 1 species